rnacentral:lncRNA from 1 species
UUCAUAGUGCAAAUUAAAUCCAUUUAUUCUUGCAAAGACAGAACAAUUACACUCCUGUUUUGUGUUUCAGACCUCAGUGAUCCCUCAUUAACUCCCUUAGGCUUCCUUCUCGUUCAGUGCAUCUUUCCUCUAGCUUCUAUGGUGCAAUUUACCCUCUUGACUUCAUGUCUGGUGUAUGAGCCCAGUGCACUGGCUCCUCUGCAGGGCGCUCUCUCUCUGCCCGCCCUUCCUGUGCAGUGUUUAGGAUUGUUACCCUGAGAUGGUUGCAAAAAGGUUUGAUAAAGUGCUGAAGAUCAGGGCCUGAGAAGGACCUUUCAGCUCAGUGGCUUUCUCGUGUGGGAGAUGAGCAAUUGGGUUGUUCACAGAACCCCCUGAUCCCUUAUAGAAUCCCAGCCUGGUUUGGGUUGGAGGGACCUUAAAGCUGAUCCAGCUCCAACCCCCUGCUACGGGCAGGGACACCUUCCACUAGAGCAGGUUGCUCCAAGCCCCUGUGUCCAACCUGGCCUUGAACACUGCCAGGGAUGGGGCAGCCACAGCUUCUCUGGGAAAAGUCUGUGCCAGCGCCUCAGCACCCUCACAGGGAAGAGCUUCUGCCUCAGAGCUCAUCUCAAUCUCCCCUCUGGCAGGUUAAAGCCAUUCCCCUUGGCCUGUCCCUACAUAUUCCCCCCAGGCAGAUCUGCUGGUGGUGCCAUGAGUGUGUUCCUACAUCCUUCUGUUCACAUCUUGGGUGCUGGAGAACACAGAACUGGCAGAUAGUGAAGGUACCUCAUCACAUGCUGCCUGCCCUGUAUCGUGGCAUCAUUCUUCUCUGUUCACUCACCCAAAGGAAGCACAAAUCCCUUCCUCUUUCUACAGGUGGCCACCCAUAACUGUACAUCCUAAACCAGGCUUUGGGUGCUUGGGGGUGUCCUUGGUGUGUGGUGCUUGUUCUUGCACCAUCGCCACCAGGGAGGGUUCAGCGCUGGCCCCAGUCCUGCGCAGCCCCAGUUCAUCCCUGUCUGAGGUGAAGGACUCUUUGGCUCUGUGCAACAACAGGUUUCUUCUCCACUGCAUGCAAAAAGCAGCUGCUGCUGCUUCCUCAGAGUCAGGCGUGGGCUGGCACAGACCCUGCGAGACAGAAUAUUUGUGUGCUUUAAUAUAGUGUGCAUGAACUUGUUUAAAAUGCCUUAAACGAUAUAAACGUCUGAGUGUAUCAAUGUGUGUGAGACCAGUGUGGCAUCUCUACCUGUUAAUGCUUUCAAAGUGCUUCAAAACCUGCUUACAGAAUGAGGAAAGGAGGGCAGGAGGGGUAGUUUAGGGCAAUUUCCAAAGGGAAGAAGCCAGGUUGUAAAGGAGUUUGUAAUCUAGGCAAAGAUAAAAGCAUGGCUCGUUCCUUCAGGCUGGCAUCAGUGAGAAAUGGACGUAUAUCAUGUUUUUAGCAGUAAUAAACCACAGGAGGAGCUUUUUCACCCUUGUGGCUGAGUGUCCAUCAAAGAGGGUCCUAACAAAAAGUGUCUCUUCCAGAAAGAGUCAGAAAGCUCAGCACAAGUUGUAGGAUUACACAGGAGACUGGGCACAGGGUGGAAAAGCACCUCAGAGGAGGCUCUGGUUGUGCUUGUGCUUGUUCCUGAGUGCUUUCAGGUAAAGCUGCUCUCACAAGCUGUACAGUUGGAUCAAUCAGCCACCCAAGGGAAGCUCUUGGGGGUGUCGAUCAAAGCUCAUCUUGAGACAACAUAAAGGCUGAGACCAACAUGGACCAUUUCCAAAUGCAGAUCUCCAGUGAGAUGCUGCUGCUCUCCUGUCCCAAAAUGAGAUGGGAGACAGAGCAGCUAAAAGGACUUCAGAGUUGGUAGCAGUGACAGAGCCUAUUGAUGCUUGGGAGGAUGCGUGGUGGGCUUUGGAAACAAGGCAGAGGCACGAAAUAAGAUCACGGGAGCCAACAGAGGUCCCACAGCAGGCAGCUCCCACCUCCCAUUACCAGGCCUGGCUGUAAGAGCUCCCCACAGCACGGACUCACCUUGCAAAGCCCAUCGGAUGCCAUCAGCAUGGACUUACUUUGAUACACGCUGCCUCAGCUGCCUUCAGGAUGUGCAAAACCGCUUGAACAAGGUUCUGUGUGUUGCUCACGAGCAGCUCGGAGGAGGAUUUGCUCUCUGCAGUGACUGCUUUUACCCUUCAGAGACAUUUUAAAGCACGGAGGAACAUUGGUGUGUUCCCCCCAUGUGGUCAGUUACUCCUACUCCAAACCCAGAAGGUCGUUCCCUGCACUAUCAGAGCAGGUUUCCAGGGAAAACAGGGGAGGAAGGGGCUGUCUGCAGCAACAGGAAGAGGAUCCCUAACGGCUACACCCAGAUCCCUCAAGGACUUCUGGAGACCCCCAAGCACAUCUCUUUGGGAAGGGUCCCACCAGCCCUGGAGAGGUGUCUCACCUGGCCACGAUGCCGAGCUGGCUGCUGAUGGUGUGGGCCUGCUCGGUGGCACAGAGCAGCUCCAUGGAGC